UACAGAGGGUGCAAGCGUUGUUCGGAAUUAUUGGGCGUAAAGCGCGUGUAGGCGGCUAGGCAAGUCGGGUGUGAAAGCCCUCAGCUCAACUGAGGAAGUGCGCCCGAAACUGCUUGGCUUGAGUACCGGAGAGGAUGGCGGAAUUCCCCAAGUAGAGGUGAAAUUCGUAGAUAUGGGGAGGAACACCGGUGGCGAAGGCGGCCAUCUGGACGGAUACUGACGCUGAGACGCGAAAGCGUGGGGAGCAAACAGG
rnacentral:rRNA from 1 species